rnacentral:rRNA from 1 species
UACGGGGGGGGUAAGCGUUGUUCGGAAUUACUGGGCGUAAAGGGCUCGUAGGCGGCCAACUAAGUCAUACGUGAAAUCCCUCAGCUUAACUGGGGAACUGCGUGUGAUACUGGAUGGCUUGGAUUUGGGAGAGGGAUGCGGAAUUCCAGGUGUAGCGGUGGAAUGCGCAGAUAUCAGGAGGAACACCGGUGGCGAAGGCGGGAUCCUGGGCCAGUACUGACGCUGAGGAGCGAAAGCGUGGGGAGCAAACAGG